rnacentral:tRNA from 1 species
GGACACGUGGCCGAGUGGUCGAAGGCGCACGCCUGGAAAGUGUGUAUAGGGGUGACUCUAUCGUGGGUUCGAAUCCCACCGUGUCCGCCA